UACGAAGGGGGCUAGCGUUGCUCGGAUUUACUGGGCGUAAAGGGCGCGUAGGCGGAUUGAUAAGUCAGGGGUGAAAUCCCGGAGCUCAACUUCGGAAUUGCCUUUGAUACUGUCUGUCUUCGAGUUCGGGAGAGGUUGGCGGAAUUCCUAGUGUAGAGGUGAAAUUCGUAGAUAUUAGGAAGAACACCAGUGGCGAAGGCGGCCAACUGGCCCGAUACUGACGCUCAUGUGCGAAAGCGUGGGGAGCAAACAGG
rnacentral:rRNA from 1 species